ACGCUCGACACCUACGGGAGGCAGCAGUGGGGAAUAUUGCACAAUGGGGGAAACCCUGAUGCAGUGACGCCGCGUGAAGGAAGAAGUAUCUCGGUAUGUAAACUUCUAUCAGCCAGGGAAGAAAAUGACGGUACCUGACUAAGAAGCCCCGGCUAACUACGUGCCACAGCCGCGGUAAUCUGAGCGGGCUGGCAAGGC
rnacentral:rRNA from 1 species